rnacentral:misc_RNA from 1 species
AGCAGCCGCGGUAAUUCCAGCUCCAAUAGCGUAUAUUAAAGUUGUUGCAGUUAAAAGCUCGUAGUUGAAUUUCGGGACCAGUACGCUGGUCAUGCCUUUGGUAUGCACUGGUGUCACUGGUUUCUCCCUUCUGAAGAUCCGUGAUGUCAUUAAUUUGGUGUCGCGGGGAAUCAGGACUGUUACUUUGAAAAAAAUUAGAGUGUUUAAAGCAGGCUCACGCUUGAAUACAUUAGCAUGGAAUAAUGAAAUAGGACGUUUGACCCUAUUUUUGUUGGUUUCUAGGAUCGACGUAAUGAUUAAUAGGGAUAGUUGGGGGCAUUAGUAUUCAAUUGUCAGAGGUGAAAUUCUUGGAUUUAUUGAAGACUAACUACUGCGAAAGCAUUUUGCCAAGGAUGUUUUCAUUAAUCAAGAACGAAAGUUAGGGGAUCGAAGACGAUCAGAUACCGUCGUAGUCUUAACCAUAAACUAUGCCGACUAGGGAUCGGAUGAUGUUAAUUUUAUAAUGACUCAUUCGGCGCCU